rnacentral:lncRNA from 1 species
UGCCAAACCUCAGACUUUCUUCACACUUGAGCUCCAGAAACUUUACAGAGGAGGUUCUGUUCAUUGAUGAAUUUUGUGCUCACAAUUGAGAACCAACUAUGAAAGAUUUCCUUUUCCUUUUUCUUUCAGAUCAUUUCCCUUAUGGUUUUUUUUUUAAUUUUGUUUCAAAUUCUCUUCGUAAACAAGAUGAGCAGAAAAUAACUUCAUCGAGAGGCCGCCACUCUAUAAUUUCUUCACAACAAGAUGAACCUGGGCAAUGCCCCAGCACCAGCUGCCAGCCUUUGUCCAGAGGCGCACUACCGGGAGGCAGCGAGAAGACACAUGCGUGCCAGGUCCUCCUGCAUGACCUGAAGUACGCUUCCUUCAUGGAGAGGAGUGGAUACAGCUGACCCAAUUUAGUACCCUGUCGAUCCCUUUGUCAACCAUGUCCUGAAAGACCCAAUGGGAGGCAUUCCAGACACCACACAACAUUUUAAAUUCUUAGCUCCGUGUGCUCGGCACUGGUGCCACUUUCUUUUCUGUGGACACAAGCUCUCCUCACUCCAAGCACACUGCGACCUCACUGACACUUUGCUGCUUUCUUUGCCACUGUGUGCCACAUCUAAUUCUUUAUCCCUGAAGCACAAGAACAUACAAUCCUCUCCAUCACCUAUGGCAACAAGAAUGUGCUUUAGUGAUUUAUUUCAUUAUCUUUGGGGGGACACCAAGGGCUCAUAGCAGA